GACGAACGCUGGCGGCGUGCUUAACACAUGCAAGUCGAACGGAAAGGCCCUGCUUGCAGGGUACUAGAGUGGCGAACGGGUGAGUAACACGUGGGUGAUCCGCCCUGCACUUCGGGAUAAGCUUGGGCAACGGGGACUAAUACCGGAUACGAGCUAUCUUUAGUGUGGGGGAUGGAAAGUUUUUUGGGUGUAGGAUGAGCUCGCGGCCUAUCGGCUUGUUGGUGGGGUAAUGGCGUACCAAGGCGGCGACGGGUAGCCGGCCUGAGAGGGUGUACGGCCACAUUGGGACUGAGGUACGGCCCAGACUCCUACGAGAGGCAGCAGUGGGGAAUAUUGCACAAUGGGCGCAAGCCUGAUGCAGCGACGCCGCGUGGGGGAUGAAGGCCUUCGGGUUGUAGACUCCUUUCGCUAGGGACGAAGCUUUUUGUGACGGUACCUAGAUAAGAAGCACCGGCUAACUACGUG
rnacentral:rRNA from 1 species